rnacentral:rRNA from 1 species
CAGUCGCCGCGGGAAUACAGAGGGUGCGAGCGUUAAUCGGAUUUACUGGGCGUAAAGCGUGCGUAGGUGGUGGUUUAAGUCCGUUGUGAAAGCCCUGGGCUCAACCUGGGAAUUGCAGUGGAUACUGGGUCACUAGAGUGUGGUAGAGGAUAGUGGAAUUUCCGGUGUAGCAGUGAAAUGCGUAGAGAUCGGAAGGAACAUCUGUGGCGAAGGCGACUAUCUGGGCCAACACUGACACUGAGGCACGAAAGCGUGGGGAGCAAACAGGAUUAGAUACCCGGGUAGUCCCUGUCUCUUAUAA